GUGCUCAAUUCAGUAGCAUAUAUACCCAAAUUGGAAUAAUACAAACAAGAUUAGCAUGGCCCCUGUGCAA
rnacentral:snRNA from 14 species